rnacentral:rRNA from 1 species
CUCGUGUCGUGAGAUGUUGGGUUAAGUCCCGCAACGAGCGCAACCCUUGUGAGCUGUUGCCAAACUUACCGUUUGGCUCUCUGCUCAGACUGCCCUGUGAAACGGGGAGGAAGGUGAGGAUGACGUCAAGUCAGCAUGGCCCUUACGCCUAGGGCUGCACACGUACUACAAUGCCCAGUACAGAAAGAGCCGAACCAGCAAUGGCUAGGAAAUCAAUAAAACUGGGCCCAGUUCGGAUUGUGGGCUGCAACUCGCCCGCAUGAAGCCGGAAUCGCUAGUAAUGGCGCAUCAGCUACGGCGCCGUGAAUACGUUCCCGGGCCUUGUACACACCGCCCGUCACAUCAUGGAAGUCGCCUGCUCCCAAAGAGUUUCCGUUUAACGGGGCUUCAAGGAAUGGGCGGUAACUGGGAUGAAGUCGUAACAAGGUAA